UAUGCUCAAACCAUCCUUCUUCUUGUUGCCAAUUGAAACAGGAGAGACUUUGGGAGUUAAAGUAUAUGAUGUAAAUCAUAGGAAGAAAAGGGCACCCCUGGAGAUAGGUACCUGGGAAGAUGAUGAGUGGCCUCCCCAGCGUAUUAUAGAUUAUUAUGGGCCAGCUACAUGGGCAGAGGAUGGUACUUAUGGAUACAGAACCCCAAUAUAUAUGCUUAAUCGUAUUAUAAGAUUGCAAGCAGUAGCUGAGAUAGUUACCAAUGAGACAGCACAGGCGCUCAAUCUCCUAGCUAAACAUAAUAC